rnacentral:lncRNA from 1 species
AAAAUGUGCUUAGGUAUUGGCCAGCUUGCUUCUCCGACCUUGAUGCCAAUCUCCUAGAGCUAAUUACUCUUGAUUGAACCAUUACUUUGCAUCCAAACUUUAUACACUUAUUAAAAAUCAAGCUAACUACCUCUAUAGAAAAAAAAUUUAAUCUAAUUGGUAGAUUGAUAAAUAUCUAAGAAAACCUCACUGGUCUUCAAAACCCUAAAUUUUGAGACCAUAAUCUAUAAAAACCUUCAUGCCUUUCAAACCAAAUGUU